AACGAACGCUGGCGGCGUGCCUAACACAUGCAAGUCGAGCGCGAAUGGAGCAAUCCUAGUAGAGCGGCGCACGGGUGCGUAACACGUAGGCAAUCUUCCCUUGAGCGGGGGAUAACGUUUCGAAAGAGACGCUAUACCGCAUAAGACCACGACCGGUUCGCCGGUUGCGGUCAAAGCUGGCCUCUUCUUGAAAGCUAGCACUUAAGGACGAGCCUGCGGCCCAUCAU
rnacentral:rRNA from 1 species